UUUUUUUUUUUUUUUUUUAAGUUUAAAAAAAAAAAAAAAAGUUUUUCUACGGGAUGACAUGGUAUAAUUCUACGCGUAAAUGUUUAAUGACCUACCUAGUGUGUCGGACUGUACCCAUCAAAAUAAAACAGUGAGAUGUACCCUGUGUGUAGUGCGAUUAAAGCGCUUGGCACCUGACCGGCAGCGCGCUGCCCUGGUUACCUUGACAGCGAGAUGCCGGAAGAGCGAGACUGAACGGAUAACAAAUUAAGAGGCACUUAAACACGUUUCAGAAGAGAUACAAAUUAUGUCUUCGCAAUGCGUGAAGACUCAGAAGCAAGAUGCUGAGAACCCCUCAAUAAUUAAAUCAAAAUCCAUGUCCAGCAGACAAAAACAAACAAAAACGGCUGUACGACACCCACCGGUCUACAGAAUGGCAUCCAAACGCGGGCUAAAGGCUUGUGAAAACUCCUUAGAAAGGAUGCCACCAGAGAUCAUUCUCAAGAUUCUCUCAUACUUAGAUGCUGGGUCUCUUUUCUGCAUUAGUUUUGUCAACAAGCUCUUGCAUGAACUGUCCAACAGCAAUUCUAUGUGGUAUCAGUUUUAUAUCCAUGAACAUACCAAAAAGAAGAAAGCCAACCAAGAAGACCAUAUGAUGCAUGAGGUAGGUGUGCAGGAGAGGCCAAAGGGAUACUGGAGAAACACAUUCUUCAAAGAAAUUGCCGGCCUGAAUGUGAACAAGUGGAGAAAAAAACUUCAACGCAUCGACCCUUACUCAGGACUGCCACAUCAUACAGAGGAAGUCUUAAGGAGUCUGUGCAUUACAUGGGAGAUCACAGUGACUGAUGGGAGAGGACGGCGGAGCACCUUUGAGCAGUCUCAUGCCUCCUUCAGCAGUACGGCUGUGUUUGUGUUCUGGGGUGCUGUCAGUUGGCCUCCUUUCAACCAGCUCACCUCGCUUGAGCUUCGUGGAGUGUCACGGGUUCCCCUCGAUUGUCCUGCUCCUUACAGGCCGGGCUGGAAAUCGGAUAUGUCCAAAGUAAAGCUUCAAGGAGAACACAGUGAGUUGUGUGUUGCAGACAAGAUUGUCAAGAUGCUAUAUGUUGGACAGGGCGUCACUUUGGGAUUCUGGCAGGACCAAUGUGGAAUUGCUUUUGUCAUAGUGAACUUGCACAAUCACAGACUUGUGGAAAGAAGUCUUCAUGCGUCCAUUAGCGCUAGUCCAUGUACAGCAACUGGAGUCAGUGCUUUGUUUGAUGAUGUGGACCCGGAGUAUGGUCUCCAUGGAUACAGUGCUUACAUUGAACUGCACAAUACAGCGAGAGUCAUCAUGUCUGAUCGCUUUUCCCAGCUGUUUUGCAGGAGAGAUCAGAUUUCUGAUGGUUAUCUUCCACUGGAAGUGAUCAGUGAGAAUAACAGAUCCCUAAAUACUCAAUUGGUUGGAGAUGUCAGCUUGCCUUGGAAGACUGAAGCUUUACAUGGAACUAUCAAGGACUGUUGCAUGAUCAACCUCACUGUAUGGGAUGAAGCCAAGCAGCCUUUUUGGUGUGUCAGUGCUCCUGUUGUCAUGACAAAAGUAAAUCAGGACACGGUAUCAUACGAUUUUGGUGCCGAGAGAUUCUCCAUCCUAUACCAAGACUCAGAGGGGAGGGUGGAGAUGAGGCUGAAGCAGAUGGAGUAUAAGGAACAGUAUUUUGUGGUUAAUCUAGUGAUUUACAUUUCUGUCGCCAAAGUGAAUAAGCACUUUGGGAGAGAUUAUUGAAGCCUUCACAUGCCAUUUCUGUUUACAUGAAGACCGUUUUAAUAUAUUUGACUUAAGAACAAGCAGGGCAGCUGCAAAUUAGUCAGUAACUGAUUAUGGCAAGAUUAAACUCCUGUCAUAAUUAUAGUGCUUAGCUUUUCAUGUUAAUUUUUUUGACUGAAUGUUUCUAUACACUUUAUUAUCAUCAAACAUUUUAAUCCACAUUUUCACGUAUCAUUACAUUUUAAGGAUAUAAAAAUCAGCCUGUCACAAAGGGAGGGAUUUUCACGUCAAGUCAGAUAAAAUCUAAAUAAUAAGAAAAGAAAAGAAAGUAAAGGGAAAAAAAAAAAAAAAACUUGCAUGGAAUCAAGAGCUAAAGAAUAAAAACGGACCUUUAAGCUGGAUUUAAAGUGCCAAUGUGAGCAGGGAAGCCGUUCCAGAACAUGGGGGCAGCAACUGAGAAAUCUCCCUUACAGCAUGAGAGGGACAGAAGGAAGUUGAUUGCAUGACCUGGGGGCAGAGUAUUAUGCAAGCCUGUUUUCGCCACAGAAUAAAAAUAAAUAAAUAAAUAAAAAGGUAAUUGUGACAUUUUAUCUCACUUUUUUUUCUUGCAAUUGUGAGUUUAUAUCUCACACUUCUGACUUUUUUCUUAGAAUUCGGACUUUAUAUCUUGCAAUUCUGAGAAAAAAGUCAGAAUUAUGAGGUUAAAAGUUAGAAUUGUGAGUCGGCGCCGAUAGCCUCGUGGGCAGCACGCCGACAUGUGGCGCCGUUGCGCUUCGGGCAACCUAAGAUUGAGUCCCGGCUCGCUGUCCUUUCCUGAUUUCGUCCCCCCCUCUCUCUCUCCCACUUCGCUCUCCUGUCUACAUAAUGUCCUAUCACAAUAAAGGCAAAAACGCCAAAAAUAAAACUUAAAAAAAAAAAAUAAUUAAUUAAUUGCGAGAAGUAAACUCGGAAUCCCGAGAGAAAACAUCAGAAUUGUGAGCUGACUUUUUUUCUCAGAAUUGUGUGAUAAAAACUUAUUGCGAGAAAAAAGUCAGAAUUGUGGGAUAUAAACUCAGAAUUGCAAGUUAUAAAGUCCAAAUUGUGAGAAAUAAACUGAUAAACUGAGUUAUUAAAUCUCGCAGUUUUAUUUCUUGCAAUUCUGACUUUUUUCCUCACAAUUGUGAGUUUAUGUAUCACAGUUCUGAGGAAAAAAAAGUGAGAAUUGCAAGGUAAAAAAGUCAGAAUUCAACUCACAAUUGCAAGUUAUGUAGUCAAAAUUGUGAGAUAUAAAGUCGUAAUUGCCAGAAAAAAGUCGUAAUUGUGAGAUAUAAACUCGUAAUUGCGAGAUAAAAUAGUCAAAAUUAGAGAUAUAAACUAGCAACUGCAAGUUAUAAAGUCCAAAUUGUGAGAUAUAAACUCAUAUUUUCUGACUUUAUAACUUGCAAUUGUGAGCUUAAUUCUGACUUUUUGACCUCACAAUUCUCACUUUUUUUCUCAAAACUGCGAAAUAUAAACUCUAUAAACUCAACUUUUUUUCUCGCAAUUGUUUAUUUCUCACAAUUUUGACUUCUCUCUCGCAAUUGCUGAGAAAAGAAUUGUGAGGAUAAAAAGUUGGAAUUAAACUCAAAAUUGUGAGUUAUAAAGUCAGAAUUGCAAGAAAUAAACUCGUAAUUGCGAGGAAAAAAAGUCUUUGUGAGAUAUAAACUAUAAAUUAUGAGUUAUAAAUAUACUUGCAAUUCUGAUUUUCUUUCUCGCAAUUACGAGUUUCUUUCUCACAAUUCUGACUUUUUCCCCUCAGAAUUGUGAGAUAUAAACUCGCAAUUGAGAGUUAUAAAGUCAGAAUCGCAAGAUAUAAAAUCGCAAUUCUGAGAAAAAAAAAAAAGCCACAAUUACUGUUUUUUUUAUUAUUAUUGUUUAAUCCUUGGCGGAAACAAGUUUUCAUAGAGUAUGGAUGAAGGAGUUUACAAAUAUAUUGUGGAGAAAGACCAUUCUUUAUAACUGAAAGCAAAAUCUUAAAAUCAAUCUUGAUUCUAUUGGUAAUAUCUAAUUGGAUUCUAAUAGAGGAGAUGUGAUAUCUUAUUCUUGCUUCUCUAUAUAAAUCUCACUGGCAUGUUCUGAACCAUCUGGAGAUGAGAUUGAGACAGGCCUGCAUACAUAUAAUUACAGUAAUUUAGCCGGGAUUGUUUCCAAGUCCUUUCGUGAAAGAAACUCUUUUAAUUUAGCAGCAGAUCUGAGCUGAAAGGCCCUUAAUAAUGAUAACUAAUGUGCUUCUCAAAAUUUAGUGAUGAUCAAAAAUAACAAAUUGGUGAAUAACUGGUUACAGAAGCUGGAGAGCCUAAAGUAACAAAUUUAGGUAUUUUAAAUGAUAAAAAGUUACUGUGUCCUUGUCACCAAGUGGAUGUAUGAUUAUUAAACUUUUUUGUACUGACAUAUUGUAAAUUUGGUUUAUUAUAGUGAUGCUGAUCAGUGUUUUUCAUUGUUUUGAACUCAUGAUUCAUGAUCAUGUCAAAACCAAA